GGUUUCCUUCCAAUUGUAGCAGUACCAGUACGUCUGCCAGCUCCAGGUAGAGCUCCAGUGACCAGGAAGACCUCAGCAUUCACCAAUUCCUGCUGAAUUACCGCAAACAGAAAGAACUGACAGAGGGCAUUGGAAUAGAGGAUGAUUAUAACACUGAAGACCAAGAGGUCCUUCCCCUUGAGUGUGAGGAUGUUGAAGAUACUGGUAGUCCUGAUGUGAAAGCAGAGCUUCCCUCCCACCUCAGCAUCACUAAGGAUGUUAUGGAGCGCUGCAUUCAUCUGCUGUCUGAUCCCAGCCUCAGGCUCCGACUCAAGGUACUGGACGUGCUGGAGUUGUGCGUUCAGGUGCUGAAUGACAGGGAAAAUGAACUGCUGCCUGUGGCUCAUCACUGCUGGCC